CGAACGAGAACGGUCCUAGCUUGCUNGGAUGUCGGCUAAGUGGCGGACGGGUGAGUAAUGUAUAGUUAAUCUGCCCUUUAGAGAGGAAUAACUACUGGAAACGGUAGCUAAUACCUCAUNCUCCUUCUUUAUUAAUUAAAGUUGGGAAAUGUUUUUUCGCUAANGGAUGAGACUAUAUGGUAUCAGGUAGUUGGUGGGGUAAGAGCCUACCAAGCCAAUGACGCCUAGCUGGUCUGAGAGGAUGAUCAGCCNCACUGGAACUGAGACACGGUCCAGACUCCUACGGGAGGCAGCAGUGGGGAAUAUUGCACAAUGGAGGAAACUCUGAUGCAGCANCGCCGCGUGGAGGAUGACCAUUUCGGUGCGUAAACUCCUUUUAUAUGGGAAGAUAAUGACGGUCCCAUAUGAAUAAGCACCGGCUAACUCCGUGCCAGCAGCCGCGGUAAUACGGAGGGUGCAAGCGUUCUCGGAAUCACUGGGCGUAAGCGCCGCAGCGGUUAAUUGGA
rnacentral:rRNA from 1 species